GUUUGUUUAGUGGGGAUGGUGGUGUUGCGUUUAAUCAGGGACGUCAUGACUCCUCCAGCUGUCUCAAUACCCAGGGACAGAGGCGCCACGUCCAGCAGCAGCAGGUCCUGGACGUUGCCCGAGGUAUCACCUGUGAGAAUGGCAGCCUGGACAGCAGCACCGUAUGCCACUGCCUCGUCUGGGUUGAUGCUCUUGUU